CGUGCGCAGGCGGUUAUGUAAGACAGAUGUGAAAUCCCCCGGGCUCAACCUGGGAACUGCAUUUUGUGACUGCAUGGCUAGAGUACGGUAGGAGGGGGAUGGAAUUCCGCGUGUAGCAGUGAAAUGCGUAGAUAUGCGGAGGAACACCGAUGGCGAAGGCAAUCCCCCUGGACCUGUACUGACGCUCAUGCACGAAAGCGUGGGGAGCAAACAGGAUUAGAUACCCCAGU
rnacentral:rRNA from 1 species